rnacentral:lncRNA from 1 species
CACCCAUGGCACCCAUCGCAAUGGCACCCGGGGCACCCAUGGCUUUGGAAUGGCACCCAUGGCAUUGCAAUGGCAAACAAUGGCACCCAAUGGCACCCAAUGGUAUUGCAAUGGGACCCGGGGCACCCAUGGCUUUGGAAUGGCAACCAAUGGCACCCAAUGGCACCCAAUGGUAUUGCAAUGGCACCCAAUGGCACCCAUGGCCUUGUCCGAGUCGAACAGCGCCCUGCCGGCACCCAGCGCACCCAGCGCACCCAUAGCACCCAUCGCAAUGGCACCCGGGGCACCCAUGGCUUUGGAAUGGCACCCAAUGCUAUUGGAAUGGCAACCAAUGGCACCCAAUGGUAUUGCAAUGGCACCCAAUGGCACCCAUGGCAUUGCAAUGGCACCCAAUGGCACCCAUGGCAUUGCAAUGGCACCCAAUGGCACCCAAUGGUAUUGGAAUGGCACCCAUGGCACCCAAUGGUAUUGGAAUGGCACCCAAUAGCACCCAAUGGUAUUGGAAUGGCACCCAAUAGCACCCAAUGGUAUUGGAAUGGCACCCAAAGGCACCCAUGGUAUUGGAAUAGCACCCAUGGCAUUGUAAUGGCACCCAAUGGCACCCAAUGGAAACUUAAUGGCACCCAAAGGCACCCAUGGUAUUGCAAUGGCACCCAAAGGCACCCAAUGGAAACUUAAUGGCAUUGUAAUGGCACCCAAUGGC